CCCUGGUUAGCUCAGUUGGUAGAGCGCUCCACCUGUAAUGGAGAGGUCCCGGGUUCGAUACCCGACCAGGCG
rnacentral:tRNA from 2 species